UUCACCGGGUAGACAAACGCGCG
rnacentral:miRNA from 1 species